rnacentral:rRNA from 1 species
GCCCGUCACACCAUGGGAGUUUGUUGCACCAGAAGUAGCUAGCCUAACUGCAAAGAGGGCGGUUACCACGGUGUGGCCGAUGACUGGGGUGAAGUCGUAACAAGGUAGCCGUAGGGGAACCUGCGGCUGGAUCACCUCCUUAA